rnacentral:lncRNA from 1 species
AUGUGUUGGGCGCUAGGUGCCGGGCGCAGGUUAGGCACCAACCACAAGAGGUGGUGGCCACGUGAGUUAGGCACGUCAUAUCUGGGAACGGAGUCGACAGAACGGAUGAUCCUGACACAAAAGCUGCUCGUGCCUAUGACACGAGUUACCACCUUGCAUCAACUCCAGCAGCUGGUCGACACUCUGCGGUGGCUACGUCAGUUCACGGACUUGCUCCGCGGCAAUGCUAACUUGGCAGAUCCACGAGAAUUACUAGCACAAUAUCGUCGUCUCCUGUUGUUAUUUCUACAAUGGGUCCAAGGUCGGGGACUGGCACAUAGGGAGGGGGGGUGUCUGAUGGAGGCCCAGGAUACCAGAGCACGCUGUUUGCCCGACGGUGCUCCCAAUGGGGAAUUCGUCAUACCACAGGGUUCCUGGGAACAGUCAGGGUCAAGCAAUCGUUGAGCGGGUGCAUCUCACGCUUAAGCGGCAGCUUGACGCGCUUAGAGAGGGGGGAGGGCUGGAGCCGCUCGAGCUAUGUCCUCCGGCGAUAUAAAGUUUGAAUCACCUUGAGUGUUGAGCCGAGGAUUGCGUGGGUGAAUGUGCUCCUAUAGGGGAGGUCUGCAUUCACAAAGGGGUGCUGGCCCACGGUCAGCUAACUGGUACCCGCUCAGGGUUCUUGAGCGAGGGCACGGUUGUGUUCAGACAUGUUCUAGCCCGCUUUGGUUGCCGGCUAGAUGGGUCCGUCUGGUGCCUGCGACGAAGGUACCAGAUCUGUGAAUUAUGUAAAUACUAUUGCAGUUAUUUGUCUCUUUUCAGCUUUACAGUGGAUUACUGCAACAUGAUCCAUUAGAUAGCUUUGCACCCAGUUCCAGGGUGUCUUUUACCAUCUCUUGCAACAGUCGUUUUAGCUUGGAACAAGCCACACUGAUGUCAGCAUUAUCUUCUGAACAAACAUUCCCUGCAAUCUGGUGGAAGGGGGGCUGAACACGGCAUUGAAGUUAUUGCAGCUAAGGGAAAAGUACCCCAGAUGCAGAAAUUGUGCGGUUCGGCUUCAUGCUGGUUCCUUUCACGGUGGUGUUGCUCAUGGCCUGCCCUAUUGUCCGCGCGGGUUAGGGGUUGAGAUGGGGCCCUCACCUAGUGGGUGUCCCUGGGAGGGGCGAUGGGUAUAUGACACAGGUGGUCCCAUUCGUCUGCUGGGGACCUGUUGGAUAGUCUGCGCCAACAGCAAGGCAUGGAAGACUGUCCCGGCUAACACAACCCUCGGCCUAUGCACCUUUGGGGUACUGCUUUGGCCCACAGUGCAUUCCCAUAGGCUUGGUGGUAGGGAAAAGAGAGCUUUGACAACCAAUUAUAUCUCCGAGUCUUGCCAUGAGGAACUCUACCUGCCAAAUCUAUCCCUCAGGA